rnacentral:rRNA from 1 species
CGGCAGGCCUAAUACAUGCAAGUCGAACGAUACUUUCCAGCUUGCUGGAGAGGAAAGUGGCGCACGGGUGCGUAACGCGUAUGCAACCUACCUUAAUCAGGGGGAUAGCCCGAAGAAAUUCGGAUUAACACCGCAUAAAAUCACAGUAUAGCAUUAUACAAUGAUCAAAUAUUUAUAGGAUUAAGAUGGGCAUGCGUGACAUUAGUUAGUUGGCGAGGUAACGGCUCACCAAGACUACGAUGUCUAGGGGAUCUGAGAGGAUGACCCCCCACACUGGUACUGAGACACGGACCAGACUCCUACGGGAGGCAGCAGUAAGGAAUAUUGGUCAAUGGAGGCAACUCUGAACCAGCCAUGCCGCGUGCAGGAAGACAGCCCUCUGGGUCGUAAACUGCUUUUAUUCGGGAAUAAACCUAUCUACGUGUAGAUAGCUGAAUGUACCGAAGGAAUAAGGAUCGGCUAACUCCGUGCCAGCAGCCGCGGUAAUACGGAGGAUMCAAGCGUUAUCCGGAUUUAUUGGGUUUAAAGGGUGCGUAGGCGGCUUAUUAAGUCAGGGGUGAAAGACGGUGGCUCAACCAUCGCAGUGCCUUUGAUACUGAUGAGCUUGAAUAUACUAGAGGUAGGCGGAAUGUGACAA